rnacentral:rRNA from 1 species
GAUGAACGCUGGCGGCGUGCCUAAUACAUGCAAGUCGAGCGAACAGACGAGGGUCUUGCUCCUCUGACGUUAUCGGCGGACGGGUGAUUAACACGUGGAUAACCUACCUAUAAGACUGGGAGAACUUCGGGAAACCGGAGCUAAUACCGGAUAGUAUAUUGAACCGCAUGGUUCAAUAGUUAAAGACGGUUUUGCUGUCGCUUAUAGCUGUAUCCGCGCCGCAUUAGCUAGUUGUUAAUGUAACGGCUUACCAAGGCAACGAUGCGUAGCCGACAUGAGAGGGUGAUCGGACACACUGGAACUGAGAAACGGCACAGACUCCUACGCGAGGACGCAGUAGGGAAUCUUCCGCAAUGGGCGAAAGCCUGAUGGAGCACAGCCGCGUGAGUGCUGAAGGUCUUAGGAUCGUAAAACUCUGUUAUUAGGGAAGAACAAAUGUGUAAGUAACUAUGCACGUAUUGACGGUACCUACUCAGAAAGCCACGGCUAACUACGUG